UACGUAGGGGGCAAGCGUUAUCCGGAUUUACUGGGUGUAAAGGGAGCGUAGGCGGCUUAGUAAGUCAGAAGUGAAAGCCCGCAGCUCAACUGCGGGACUGCUUUUGAAACUGCCAGGCUAGAGUGUCGGAGAGGUAAGUGGAAUUCUUGGUGUAGGGGUAAAAUCCGUAGAGAUCAAGAGGAAUACUCAUUGCGAAGGCGACCUGCUAGAACAUAACUGACGCUGAUGCGCGAAAGCGUGGGGAGCAAACAGG
rnacentral:rRNA from 1 species